rnacentral:lncRNA from 1 species
GGACAGUGGACAUGGACAGAAAGUCGGGGGCUACUGCUAAAAUCUAACAAGUUGGGGAAAAUGCCAAGUCUACGGGAAACAGCUGAGUCCAACUGCUCUCCCACCAACCACCUGCCACUCUGAAGCACAAGGACAAACCCAGCACCUUGCUGUUGACUGAUCCCAGGCAGAUUUGGCUAUUGGUCUGGAUAGUCUUGCUGCUGUCCUGCCACCAGCGCUAGGAGAAGAUGACCAGAACCUGCUUCCUACAAACAUGCCCUGACAAGGAGCCUGUGCCUCCUACCCUACCUACAGUUUGUCCUUUAAGACAAAAUAAAUAGCUACUUACAAUGAA